ACGCCGCGUGAGUGAUGAAGGUCUUCGGAUCGUAAAACUCUGUUAUUAGGGAAGAACAAAUGUGUAAGUAACUAUGCACGUCUUGACGGUACCUAAUCAGAAAGCCACGGCUAACUACGUGCCAGCAGCCGCGGUAAUACGUAGGUGGCAAGCGUUAUCCGGAAUUAUUGGGCGUAAAGCGCGCGUAGGCGGUUUUUUAAGUCUGAUGUGAAAGCCCACGGCUCAACCGUGGAGGGUCAUUGGAAACUGGAAAACUUGAGUGCAGAAGAGGAAAGUGGAAUUCCAUGUGUAGCGGUGAAAUGCGCAGAGAUAUGGAGGAACACCAGUGGCGAAGGCGACUUUCUGGUCUGUAACUGACGCUGAUGUGCGAAAGCGUGGGGAUCAAACAGGAU
rnacentral:rRNA from 1 species